AGCCCCCGAGGAGCCUCCCCGCAGUCUCCUGGCUCCAGCCUCAGCUGCUCCCGUUCCCCCGGGCCCGGCCGGGCUGCAGAGCCACCAUGCAGAGCCAACGCUCUCAGGGGGGCUCAGGGUGGGAUUGUUUGGUAUCUGCAGGGCUGGGAGUUGGACUCAAUGAUCCUUUUGGUUCCCUCACAUCUCAGGAAAUUGUUUUGUAUUACUGAAAUUUUUAUUUUAUUUUUAUUCCCUAAUGAAGAACUGCUAUUCUCAUUCCCAUAUCUUUGCCUGAGAGCCUCUUAAUUUCACAAUUGUAACAAUUCGGGGGGAGGGGGUUUACAUUUCCCAUUUCAGGGGAGGCUCCUGCCUUCCUUAGCACACACCUGUCUGUUUAAACCCAGACUGGGGCAUCCACAGCCUCUGGGAAUCCCCUGGCACUGCCCCUGGUGGGGGCUCAGAGCAGGGAGACUCCACCUGCAGCAGGCUGCUGCCUCCUCCUGCCCAUUGCUCCCAUGGCAUCCCAGCAGAGCCCAGGAACCAGCACGGAGCAGAACCAGCAGCUGCUGCUCCUGUGAAAGCUGAAUCAUCCCUGAAGAGCUUCUAAAAAACAGGAAACCUCAGGAGACACAGGAAAAACAACCUGGAGCCACUUCAACAUCCCCCCAAAGCCAAGGAGCUCUGAGCUAUCCUGCUGGCGAGGCAGAGCUGGCCUGAAGCAUCCGCAGCUCAACAGGAAACGGCAGCAGUAAGAGGAUAAAAAUACCCUGGGUGCACACAGAACGUCUCUGUGCCAGGAUUAGGGAGCCCUGGGACAGUGGGGCCAGAGGGAGCUGGGCUGGGCAGCUUUGGUUUCCCACACACGUGUGAGCCCAAGGCUCCUAAACCACCUGGCCACUGCUGGGAUGGGGAUGGGGAAGGAAGGACUGGGGGACUGUGCAGGGAGAAGCCAGACAUGGCAGCUCCUGGACCCCAAAAUCCCCCUGGGAAUGAGUGAGGCCCCCUCCAGAGCCACCCACUCCUCUGCCAGCUCCAGCACAGCCCCAGCACCAAGGAAGGCUCAUCCCUCCUG